GACGAACGCUGGCGGUGUGCUUAACACAUGCAAGUCGAACGGUAAGGCCCUUUCGGGGGUACACGAGUGGCGAACGGGUGAGUAACACGUGAGUAACCUGCCCUCAUCUCUGGGAUAACAGUCGGAAACGGUUGCUAAUACUGGAUAUGAGCUUGCAAGGCAUCUUGUGGGUUGGAAAGAUUUUUUUUGGUUGGGGAUGGACUCGCGGCCUAUCAGCUUGUUGGUGCGGUAGUGGCUCACCAAGGCUUCGACGGGUAGCCGGCCUGAGAGGGCGGCCGGCCACAUUGGGACUGAGAUACGGCCCAAACACCUACGGGAGGCAGGAGUGGGGAAUAUUGCACAAUGGACGGAAGUCUGAUGCAGCAACGCCGCGUGCGGGAUGACGGCCUUCGGGUUGUAAACCGCUUUCAAUUGUGACGAAGCUUUUUUGUGACGUUAGCAGUAGAAGAAGCACCGGCUAACUACGUG
rnacentral:rRNA from 1 species